rnacentral:tRNA from 3 species
GCCGAAGUGGCGGAAUUGGCAGACGCACACGACUCAAAAUCGUGCGGGGAAACCCAUGUCGGUUCGAGUCCGACCUUCGGCACCA